rnacentral:rRNA from 1 species
UACAGAGGUGGCAAGCGUUGUUCGGAGUUACUGGGCGUAAAGGGUGUGUAGGCGGUUGUUUAAGUUUGGUGUGAAAUCUCCCGGCUCAACUGGGAGGGUGCGCCGAAUACUGAAUGACUUGGAGUGCGGGAGAGGAAAGUGGAAUUCCUGGUGUAGCGGUGAAAUGCGUAGAUAUCGGAAGGAACAUCAGUGGCGAAAGCGACUUCCUGGACCAGUACCGACGUUCAGGCACGAAAGCGUGGGGAGCAAACAGG